GACGAACGUUGGCGGCGUGCCUAAUACAUGCAAGUCAACUGAAAUACCGGUAGCAAUACUGGUAUGGAGGUGGCGCACGGGUGAGUAACACGUAGGUAAUCUGCCUUCAGGUCUGACAUAACCCAUCGAAAGGUGAGCUAAUAUCAGAUGAUGCAGCGGCUUGACAUCAAGACAGUUGUUAAAGCUUCGGCGCCUGAAGAUGAGCCNGCGUCUGAUUAGCUAGUUGGCGGGGUAACGGCCCACCAAGGCUGCGAUCAGUAGCUGGUCUGAGAGGAUGAUCAGUCACACUGGAACUGAGACACGGUCCAGACUCCUACGGGAGGCAGCAGUAAGGAAUAUUGCUCAAUGGACCGAAGGCU
rnacentral:rRNA from 1 species